GAUGAAGAACGCAGCGAAAUGCGAUAAGUAAUGUGAAUUGCAGAAUUCAGUGAAUCAUCGAAUCUUUGAACGCACAUUGCGCCCGCCAGUAUUCUGGCGGGCAUGCCUGUUCGAGCGCCAUUUCAACCCUCAGGCCCCCAGUGCCUGGCGUUGGGGAUCGGCGCGGCGCCCUCCGGGGCGCUGCCGGCCCCGAAAUUCAGUGGCGGUCUCGCUGUAGCCCUCCUCCGCGUAGUAGCACAACCUCGCGGCCUGGAGCUCGGCGGUGGCCAUGCCGUAAAACACCCCACUUCUGAAAGUUGACCUCGGAUCAGGUAGGAAUACCCGCUGAACUUAAGUAUAUCAAUAAGCGGAGGA
rnacentral:misc_RNA from 1 species